ensembl:lincRNA
CAUGUCAGGCCCUUUCCAGUUUUUAAACCACUCAGAUCCAGGAAGGCUUGCUACUGGGCAAACCAAUGGACCCCAUGAGGCUAAGUCAUCAGAAGCCAGGCAUCUAUCAGCUCACACAUCUCAGAAAAAUAGCCAAGUGCUUACACAGAGCACAUCUGGUUGAAAAAGAAAAGGCAGAGAGAAAAGCAGACUUUUUGGAGAAGUUGUUCUCAGGCACUAACAGAUUCACCCCUUAUAUGCAUAUGAGUGGACAAGAAGAUUCCUUGGAUAUUUUCAUGAUGAAGGAUAAGAGUGAAGCUAUCCUGGCCAAGAACUUUGAGAGAGACAACACUUUUCACUCUGAAGGACCAAAAAAUGAGCAGAAAAUUUGGGAUAAAUGUCAACAACAUUUGAACUAUAAGGAAAAACAAGCAUCUGAGUUAGACAGACCUCCAUAUUCAUUCAACUGGGAAACUAAAACUGUGCAGUCCCAAUAUCAGAAUUUCCUUGGUCAGUUGGCUACUCUUCUGAGUGACAGCAUUGUCUCCAUACCAGCCACAGAGGAGGCUGUGAAAAACAGGAUUCAGAAAAUUGGUGCAAAUGAGAAAUCUUGGAAAUCUAGAACCAAAAGCCUUCAGCAGGAAAUCCAGAUGCUCACUAAACAACUAGAGCAGCUGCAUCAUCUUUAUGAGGAAGUUGCUCAAGAAUCAUCCCAAGCUGAAGAAAAGUGUUGGGAACAAAAAAGACCCUUGAAACGUCAGGAAAGAAAAAUUUCGAUCAAUGACUUUUUUCAAGAGAGAUUAGACUUGUACAGGAAGAAAGACAAAACAAUUGAAAACCUCAGGCAAUCUUUAGCAAAUGUUGAAACAAUGAAAGAGAAGGCAGUUUUGAAAACAGAAAACUUGAAAACUACAUUAGACUCUGCAGAGCAAGAGGCAAGAUCAGACAAAGAGAAGACCCAGCAGAUGUUAGAUGCUGUCACUUCUGAGCCUCCCAGAGCAAAGAGCACACCUGAAGAAAUAUCAGGACAAGAACAAGAGAAACUGCCCAGGGAUUCUCAGGAUUUAUAAAUUUGUUGCCAUGUGAACCUCAGCAGUUAGUGGUAUCACUACCAAAGAAGCUGUCCUGCAAACUUGGAGAAGGAGCCUCUUUCCCCAGACUCCAGGAUCCCUGACUGCAAUGUUACCCUUCUUCUUAAUAUCACCAGCUGAACAAAAGAAGAAAGAUGAAGGACACUGUGCCCAGAGCCUCCUCUUGCAGCCCCAGCCUGCUGAAGCUGUAAAAACCACCUUUUUAUUCAGAAUUUCCCCAGAGCCACGGCCCAAGGAUCAUCUGCCUGCUGCAGCCUCAGCACACAGGAGCCUGGCCAUGAACCAAGUAGACCCUCUCCUCCUAGGACACUCUUCUCUCAGGAAAUGUAGGCACUACCAGCUCCUACAGCCAAACUCUCCACGAAAGCCAAGGUGUUAAGGUGGGCCAGCUUCUGAAAGAGCCACUUUCUGAACAUAUCAAAGAAAAAUCUCUUGUAAAAACAAAGAGGGCUUAGUGUAAAUGCUCCAUUAUGAAUUGUGUUAGUAGAAACUGAUUGUUCAACCAUAGGACAGUACAAAACAUUAGCUGUUAACUCAGAAAACGGGAGAUCCUUCAAGCACCUGGAACCCUCUUUUCUAGAAAAGCUUUUAAUUAUGUGGCCAAAUCACUGCCACACUCUUCUUUAAUGAUAAGUAUUGGAUUUAGAUUUAAGGCUUUAGAUAAAAAAUUAUCAACCUUCAAGAUGCAAUGAAAUGAUCUAAUUAAGGAAAUAUUUUCCUAGUCCUAUCCAGAGAUUCCAGUUCAGUUUGUGGCAUGGGGCUGAAGUAUGGAUAUUUUUUCAAUGCUCCUUAAGUAUAUAAAUUGAUAAAAUUACUUUGGAAAACUCGCAGUGUGUGAGAUUUCUGUUGCUGCUAUAACAAAUUAUCACCAAUUUUGUGGCUAAAACAAUAAAAAUUUAUUAUCUUACAGUUGUAGAGGUCCCAAUAGGCUAAAAUUAAAGUGUCAACAGAGUGUGUUCCUUCUGGAAAGGGGAAAAUCCAUUUCUUUGCCUCUUCCAACUUGUAGAGAUUGCCCAC